AAAAAUUAAUAAUUUUAAUAAAAUUGCAAAAUAACCCCUCCUCCUCUUCCUUCCCCUUCGCGUAAACUUUCAUUUUGCUAAACUAGAAUUUCCCCUAAAAUUGCUAUCGGCCGACUUCUCCCGCCUCCGCCGCAGCCGCUCCAGAUCCUCUGCCCCCGACGCCUUGACGGACUGCUCUUUUUAGUUAACACUAAAGCAUACCCAAAUCAUCCCCAAAUGACCGACCGACCGCCUAACCAACCGCCCCAGCCACUUCCACCACCGACCGACCGCCCCGCCGCCUACACGACUGCCAACCGACCGCCCCCGCCGCCUACACGACCGACCGACCGCCUGCCCCAGCCACUUCCGCCGCCGAACGAACACCCCCACCGCCUACACGACUGCCGAAGCGCUCACGCAACAGCGCCAUUCAGAAUUUGGGGCUCAUUCGUAUGAGAUGUAAGCUUUCGAAUUAUUUAUAUAAUUUUACAAUGAGAAUUGAAAUGAACAAAACACCCCUGAUUCAUUACUUGUUCUUGACUGUAUCACAAUGUGAGGCCGUGUCUCCGCCAUUUGAGGCAGAUUACAAAGCUGAGGUAAAACCUAAGGAAAUUGGGGAUAUCUGGAAGCCAAAGCAGGAAAUUGAUGUUGAUGGAGAGGUAAAAGAACGUUCCUGCUAUUGUGCCGAAGCCAAAGCAAGAGAUUGUUGCCAAAUCUGCUGCACAAAUAGUUUAUGAGCAGCAAAGAAACGGAAGCAUUUAUAGUUGGUUCGACUACAUUCAUUCAGCACAGAAACUUCUGCAUAGAGGUAAGCAAAAUUGGCUGCUGUGCGGAAUUCAAGCGAUGGCUGGUCAUGUGCGGAAAUCAAGCAAUGGUUGGUCUGCUGCUGUGCGGAAUUCAAGCGACGGCUAGUCGGCUGCAUUAAAUCCGCCAGAUUCUCCCCGCUCCUGCAUUUAGUUCUGCUUUCUCUCAUCUGCUCCCAUUAAUUUCUGUUUUCUCUCAGCUGCUCUCAUUAUUUCCUGCACUAUUAAGCUAUUAACUUUUAAGCAUAUUUCGUAAUUAUUUUGGUGUAUAAGUUAAAUGAAUUGAUGCGUUUUUUGAAUUAUAUUUUUA